UAAGGAAUAUUGCUCAAUGGGAGAAAUCCUGAAGCAGCAACGCCGCGUGGAGGAUGAAGGGUCUAUGACUUGUAAACUCCUGUAAAGAAGGAAAAAAUUCCCAUUAGAUGGGAGAUGAUGGUACUUCUGGAGUAAGCCCCGGCUAACUACGUGCCAGCAGCCGCGGUAAUACGUAGGGGGCAAGCGUUGUCCGGAUUUACUGGGUGUAAAGGGUGCUCAGGCGGAUUUGUAAGUCAGAGGUGAAAUCUUACAGCUUAACUGUGAAACUGCCUUUGAUACUGCAAGCCUAGAGUAUGGAAGAGAGUGAUGGAAUAUCUGGUGUUGCAGUGAAAUGCGUAGAUAUCAGAUAGAACACCAAUGGCGAAGGCAGUCACUUGGUCCACUACUGACGCUAAAGCACGAAAGCGUGGGUAGCAAACA
rnacentral:rRNA from 1 species